rfam:Spinacia oleracea cultivar SynViroflay scaffold92673.con0001.1, whole genome shotgun sequence.
AGCUGAUGCACGCGACGGCCUGCUCCCUGUGCCAUCGCAUCAGCUGUUCCCCUCUGGAGGUUUUAACCUUCACACUUCAAGGGCCUAGGUUUUCCGAUGGCCCUAUUUU